UUGGCUAUAUGAACACAAAUUAGGGUUUACAGAGAGGAAUAAGAGAGAGAGAGAGAGUAGCGAUGGACAGAGAGAGAGGAGCGGCUUUGAUGGAAAAACCAGCCACGUCUCCGACCGGCAACCCAUGGAGCCGUCGUCUCCAACUGGCCACCCUCUUGGCGGUGAUGAUGGUAUGGUGGUUUUCAUGCGGCAAACGGUAGAAGGCGGUGGUGGUUAAGGGUUCCGCUUCCCAUUUUCCAUUUUCCAUUUUCCAUUUUCUUUCGUAGUAAGAGAGAGAGAGAGAGAGCAACGAUGGACAGAGAGAGAGGAACGACGGUGAUGGAAAAACCGGCCACGUCUCCGACCGGCCACCCAUGGUGGUGGUUGAAGGUGACCGUCACGACUGUUUUUUCCAGGAUUCGCUCGACAUUCUGGUGGAUUCCCAAGCCUAAAAUAACAGUGUGAGUCACAGAACCCGAAAUAUGGCCAGCCAUAGGCGUGGAGGGAGAAGAUGGAGGAGUUGCCAACGGGAGAUUGGGAAUUACGAAAAUGCCUCUGCUGACCGUCUGUCGCGUUCUUUAUAAGGCGUAUUGGACUAUUGCGUAAGCCAUGAACGGGAUCGAAUAUAUAGGCACUUCUAUGUUACAGAGGGCUAUUGAAUUGUUGCAUAAAUUAACAACUACACCAAAUAAUUAUGGAGUUGCAAAAUGAAAUUGAUGGGAAAGAGUGCCUCAUGUCAGCCUUUGGGAUACUCAUUAAGGUUAACUUAAAUAAUUCUUUAGUGUUUAAGUUUGAAGGUAAAAUAAUUUAAAUGAGGCAGAAUUUAUGUGUUAGAACUUAACCAUUUUUUAUCAAAAGUAUUGAUUUUGGACGGUACAGGUUUGAUGUUGCAGGUUUCAUAUUGUUGGACAUGCAGGUAUGAUAUGUUUUGUCUUUCUAGGAUCACCAAUAUAUUAAUUACCUAAAGAUCUGUUGAAAACAUGAAGAUCUAUUCAACAAUGGUUAGCACACAGAUGCCAUCAUUUAUCAUUAUGCUUGAGAAGUAUUUUUAAAAUCUUUUAUUUAUAAAAGAUGUUAUAUGAUAAUUGUAGUUCUGGGACGUAUGUGAAAGCUUAUGGUAACAAUUGUUGCAGAGGUGGACCACAAGUAUAGUUAUACCUUAAGCCCAUCGCCACUUUGUGACCACCAACAACGACCGCCACCAGGGCCUAUAGUUAAAUUGGGUUUUCUUGAGCGAUUUCGUUAGUCGCUGUGUACUUUACGGAUCUGUGUUAGCCGGAUGUUGAUCUGAUUGAAGAAGACGCAAUGGUUGUCAUGGAAAAGCCGACCCUCGAGCUGUUGAGCGAUAAGUGAUAUCCGCUUUAGUUUUUGUUUAGUUUGGAUAAGUUUUUAAUUAUUUAUAAAUAUGAGCUGAAUAUGACAUGGACAAGCUCUAAUUGCUAGGUAAUACGACUCUCUCUUUACUUAUGCAUAAUGUGACAGUCGCAACUAACCGACACCUGUAUGGUCGUAUUACAACAUUGUUUUUUGGUUA